CAUCGCCUCUUGAAUUCAUAAGAGGUCCAGCCUGCCCAGUGACUUUAUUCAACGGCCGCGGUAUCCUAACCGUGCGAAGGUAGCGUAAUCACUUGUUCUUUAAAUGAGGACUAGUAUGAAAGGCACCACGAGGGUUAUACUGUCUCCUUUUUCCAAUCAGUGAAACUAAUCUCCCCAUGAAGAAGCGGGGAUAAUAAUAUAAGACGAGAAGACCCUAUGGAGCUUUAAAUAAAAAUAACAAUUGCUACUUAUUUAACUAUUUCAGAAAAUUAAACUAUAUCUUAGCAUCAUGAUUAUUAAUUUUAGGUUGGGGUGACCACGGAGAAUAAAAUAUCCUCCAUAUUGAAAUAGAGCCUUAUCUCUAAGAAAAAAGCUACAACUUUAAACAUCAAUAAAUUGACAUUAAUUGACCCAAUAUUUUGACCAAUGAACCAAGUUAC
rnacentral:rRNA from 1 species